UCGAGAAUCUUCGGCAAUGGGCGAAAGCCUGACCGAGCGAUGCCGCGUGGUUGAUGAAGCACUUCGGUGCGUAAAGACCUUUUAUGAGGGAAGAAAUAAUUGACGGUACCUCAUGAAUAAGGGGCUCCUAACUCUGUGCCAGCAGGAGCGGUAAUACAGAGGCCCCGAGCGUUACCCGGAAUCACUGGGCGUAAAGUGUGUGCAGGCGGUUGUAUUAGUCAGGAGUAAAAUCCCGAAGCCUAACUUCGGA
rnacentral:rRNA from 1 species